rnacentral:rRNA from 1 species
CACGUAGGGGGCGAGCGUUGUCCGGAUUUAUUGGGCGUAAAGAGCUCGUAGGCGGCUCAGUAAGUCAGGUGUGAAAACUCGAGGCUCAACCUCGAGACGCCGGUGGAAACCGUAAAGCUAGAGUCCGGAAGAGGAGAGUGGAAUUCCUGGUGUAGCGGUGAAAUGCGCAGAUAUCAGGAAGAACACCCGUGGCGAAGGCGGCUCUCUGGGACGGUACUGACGCUGAGGAGCGAAAGCGUGGGGAGCGAACAGG